CACACAAACCCUAAUUUCAUUUUCAGUUAGCUUCAUCUCUGCCGUUUCUUCUCUACCUCUCUAUUACGUUUGUGAAUCAGUGGUAAUGGUACACACAAUUGUUGAUCGCUUUAAUGACUGAACCCUAAAUCUCCUAAGAUCGAUUGUUGUGUAUCUUCCUGUAUUCACAUCUUUUGUUCAUAGUUUUCGAUCAACGAAACAGGUUUAAUUUCAAUUUUGAAGUGAAGAGCUAUGCAAAUCGGAAUCCACUUCCAAGUAAUCUUCUUCCUGUGAUCUUUUGUAUAAUGGGUUUAAUUUGUUUUAUGUCAUUUUCUUUGGUUUUAGGGUUUAUAAAUCAAUCAUCAUUUGAAGCUUCAUCCGGGCAUUUUUGCAAUGAAGAGUUAUGCAUGUCUUGAAGUUGGAAAUGUGACUUCUGAUCAACUAUUAAAAUAAAUAGGUCGACUAAUAAUCUUUGCAACCUUUGCUGUGAGUAUAUUGGAUUUUUGUUUACUUUAGAGUACAAGUUCCAUAGCCUUUAUACGACUGGUCUACUGGUAGUCAUUUUCUCUUUUGGUAUCCUCAUUACUUCAACGAGGACUGGAUGCAUUAGGUUUUGGUGUUAUAGUACAGUUUAUGUGCAGCUAUACACUCCAAAACGCCCAUCGGUUGAUGUUGCUGAGGUGUUUUAUGGCUUAUGAAUGUUGGUACCAUUCUAUGUGCAUCUUAGUGGUCUGCCUGGAGGCCGAAGCAGCUAUUGAGCUGGACAAACUAUUAAAGGAUGCUUCUGAUGAAUAUAUGAGUACGGAGGUUUCUUAUUUCAGUGGUGUCUUUGAGAUUACCAACACAUCAGUGAUUGUGUUUAUUGUGGUUUCAUCAUGUUUCUUAGUUUGGCUUUACAAAAAAAUGUCAUACGUGUUCAUUGAGGUUUUGGUUGUCCUAUUCGCCAUUGGUGGGGGCGAGGUAUGUACUCAUUCGCAUAAGAAAAAAAUUAUUUUCUUUGAUUUUGACUUUAAUAAAUUGAUGAGCUCUAUUUUCUUUUUCUCUUUCUCGGGGUCUGCAAACGUGCUUGGUGGCUUUAUUAGCAUGGUAUAUAUGUAAUACAUAUCAGCGGUGGAUUAGAAUACAAUUUAUCUAUUACUUCAUCUAGAAAUUUCAAUAAAUGCAGUUUCAGAUCGUUUGAGAAUGUUGCAAAGUCAUUUAUCAAAAUCCCCUUUUUAGGAGGUGUGUCAUAUCCGACACUUGGUGUUUCUCCAUUUUGUGUGUUAUACGUUGUAAUAUCAAACUUUUGUUGGUUUUUAUUGAAAUAAAUGAAAUAAUGGCACUUUAUAAAAUUGUAAUUUUUUGUUUUCUAUGGUAAAUCAGGGUGUUGCUUUGAUAAUCACAGUAAUCCAGAUAAUUCAAGUUCCUAAUCUCAAGCUGCAGAUUCAGUAGACAGCAGUUGGUUGCCUGCAGCAAUAGAUAGUUUAAUGUCGUUGGAGGCUGGGAAGAUCUGGUAGUUUCAAGGCACUAUAGGGAGCUAUUAUUUUCUCACAAUGACACAAAAAGA